rnacentral:rRNA from 1 species
UACGGGGGGGGGCAAGCGUUUGUUCGGAAUUACUGGGCGUAAAGGGCUCGUAGGUUGCCAACUAAGUCGGACGUGAAAUCCCUCAGCUUAACUGGGGAACUGCGUCCGAUACUGGAUGGCUUGAGUUUGGGAGAGGGAUGCGGAAUUCCAGGUGUAGCGGUGAAAUGCGUAGAUAUCGGGAGGAACACCGGUGGCGAAGGCGGCCUUCUGGACGGAUACUGACGCUGAGGAGCGAAAGCGUGGGUAGCAAACAGG